rnacentral:misc_RNA from 1 species
GAAAUGCGAUAAGUAAUGUGAAUUGCAGAAUUCAGUGAAUCAUCGAAUCUUUGAACGCACAUUGCGCCCCCUGGUAUUCCGGGGGGCAUGCCUGUUCGAGCGUCAUUUCACCACUCAAGCCUCGCUUGGUAUUGGGCGACGCGGUCCGCCGCGCGCCUCAAAUCGACCGGCUGGGUCUUCCGUCCCCUCAGCGUUGUGGAAACUAUUCGCUAAAGGGUGCCGCGGGAGGUCACGCCGCAAAACAACCCCAUUUCUAAGGUUGACCUCGGAUCAGGUAGGGAUACCCGCUGGACUUAAGC